ensembl:lincRNA Gm43095 predicted gene 43095
CCCAUAGCAACAGGGAAGGAGUUCUGAUAAGAGGGGAAAGUGUAGCAUCUUGGCCUCCACCUCCAAGUCCACCCAGGUUAUUUAUAACCACGCUGAGCACAUGGCCACUUCCUUGUGUCUGCGUAUUCAACAUCGCCAGCCGUCAUUUCAGAGGUGCACUGUUAAUUAACUUGGGAGAGGGAGGGGAUCACCCAGAAAGGAGGACUUUCUAGAAACAGCGACGUGGGCCACCAGACUCCCGUGGGAAGCAUUUCCCGCACUAUGGAAUGCAGGGGCAUGGCCCUGCUGUGGCAAGGCAGGCCUACGGUCAGUGGCCUCUCACUGUGGAGCCAAGCAAGCAGGGCCUAGCACAGGCAGGAGGGUUUCAAACACAGCCUACCUGCCUGGCACCCAGAAAGAGCUGCAUACCACCAUUCUUGCCACCAAAGACUGGAUUUCAGGGUUUUGGAUCAAUGAGCCACCAGAAGGAACUGGAGGAAUCAAUACCUGGCCCCUGAGAGACAGCCCUCGGUGAUGGCCGACCAUAAGAGUGUAUGCUACAAAUCCUCUCUCCCCGAAGCUGCUUCUGGCUACAGCACCUUAGCCCAGGGAUAGACGUGAAACCAGGAUUCCCAGAGGAGGUGUCUGAGACCAGCAGGUGCUCACUGAACAACAUCUCUUCCAGGAAGAAGAGAAUGAAGACUGCUUCUAGGAGGCGACAUCUCCAUCAGAGCACAUAAGGUCAGG